rnacentral:rRNA from 1 species
UACGGGGGGGCGAGCGUUGUUCGGAAUUACUGGGCGUAAAGGGCGCGUAGGCGGCCUGGGAAGUCCUGGGUGAAAGCCCCCGGCUCAACCGGGGAAGGGCCUGGGAAACCACUGGGCUGGAGUGCUGGAGAGGGUGGCGGAAUUCCCGGUGUAGCGGUGAAAUGCGUAGAGAUGUGGAGGAACACCAAUGGCGAAGGCAGCCUUCUGGGCCAACACUGACGCUCAUGCACGAAAGCGUGGGGAGCAAACA